rnacentral:rRNA from 1 species
GACUGUUUACCAAAAACAUAGCCCUAGAAAAUAUCUAAGGUGUAACCUGCCCAGUGAUCUUUAAAUUAUGUAAGAGAAAAUCUUAUAAAUAAGUUUAAAAGGACGCGGUAACCUUGACCGUGAUAAUGUAGCAUAAUCACUCGCCAUUUAAUUGAUGGAUAGUAUGAAUGGUUGAACGAAUACUCCACUGUCUUAGAAAAAAAUUAAUAUAAAUUGAAAUAACAGUUAAGAUGCUGUUUUAAACUGUAAGACGAAAAGACCCUAUAGAGCUUAACUAUAGUUUCCCUACUUUUUAUAAGAGAAUAAUCAUUAAUCUAGGGAGAUUGGUAGUUUAGUUG